UUUGGCAGUGCACAUAAAAAAAAAAAAUUGGAAUGACAGAGAUUACCCUGGCCCCUGCACAAAGGUGACAACCAAAUUCAUGAUGUUCCUGUGUUUAU
rnacentral:snRNA from 1 species